UACAGAGGUCCCAAGCGUUGUUCGGAUUCACUGGGCGUAAAGGGUGCGUAGGCGGUUGGGUAAGUCUGAUGUGAAAUCUCACAGCUUAACUGUGAAACUGCAUUGGAUACUAUCCGGCUAGAGGAAUGGAGGGGAGACUGGAAUACUUGGUGUAGCAGUGAAAUGCGUAGAUAUCAAGUGGAACACCAGUGGCGAAGGCGAGUCUCUGGACAUUUCCUGACGCUGAGGCACGAAAGCCAGGGGAGUAAACGGG
rnacentral:rRNA from 1 species